UGCCAGACUCCUACGGGAGGCAGCAGUGGGGAAUAUUGCACAAUGGGGGAAACCCUGAUGCAGCGACGCCGCGUGAGCGAUGAAGUAUUUCGGUAUGUAAAGCUCUAUCAGCAGGGAAGAAAAUGACGGUACCUGACUAAGAAGCCCCGGCUAACUACGUGCCAGCAGCCGCGGUAAUACGUAGGGGGCAAGCGUUAUCCGGAUUUACUGGGUGUAAAGGGAGCGUAGACGGCUGUGCAAGCCAGAUGUGAAAGCCCGGGGCUCAACCCCGGGACUGCAUUUGGAACUGUGUGGCUGGAGUGUCGGAGAGGCAGGCGGAAUUCCUAGUGUAGCGGUGAAAUGCGUAGAUAUCAGGAGGAACACCGGCGGCGAAGGCGGCCUGCUGGACUGAAACUGACGUUGAGGCUCGAAAGCGUGGGGAGCAAACAGGAUUAGAUACCCGCGUA
rnacentral:rRNA from 1 species